rnacentral:lncRNA from 1 species
CACCACCGAUGGUGAAAAUACCUCACAGGAUGAUGUUGGACAUUCUUAUACAAACUUCAGCUUACUGGUGGUUGAGUCGAAGUAAAAUGUGAUAGUGGCAUGAUGAGACCAUGUCAGAAUUCUUGCUGCUAUGGAAGCAAAAGGAUUCAUGAAACCCACGGUGAAAACAGAGAUAAGAUACUACAAUUACAGUAGCAUGGAGAAACCGAGGACACGAAAUGAGUCUGAAGAAUGCUAUGGCUGGUUCGUUCUAGCUAAGUACAUGCAGGCUUCUCUUACAUAUAUGCAACGUAACAACGUGAAUGACUAGAACUAUUGUGAUGUUGCUCUAUUGUAAGAGUACAAAUGACUCAUGGCUAUCUUUCUUUUGUUUAAUGCGAUGUGUGGUAGAAGAUGUACUCACAGGAAGACUUUGGGGCUGUUUGGUUGCUGCCCACAUUCACCCUACCAAAACAUGGGCCGACCAAAGAAGUUGGCGAGCAAAUGGCCCGCCCUAGUUUGGCCAAACAAUUUGGCAUGGAAUUAGACAGAGGGAGUGUGGGCGAGCUAGGCGUGCAAAUAAAUCGGUAGCUGUCGGGGAAACUGAUCCACGAACACCUGCGGGGCUGGCGGACCGUGGCCCCUUUCGGUUCGGCGGGGGGCGGAGGUCGCGCGAAGAGCAGAUCGAGGCGAAGCACACAAGCAGUUUACCCAGCUUCGGAGCUCUCCAGAGAGAUAAUACCCCUACUGCUGCUUGUCUGAUUCUAUUAUGUUCUUGCUCGAGAGUGAGCUAAGUGUUUCCCUGGUUUCCGAAUGAGUCGAACCUCCUCUACGUUGCGCAUGGGCCUCCUUUUAUACGCUAAAGGGGUCACCGACAGGUGGCAACGCAGAGAAGGGUAUAAGUGUAAAAAGAGAGGUGGUUGGUACAGCUACCUGUACAGUGCAUCCUACCUAACCCUGACGGCAAGGGACAAGGGCAUUAAAUGCCCGUCUGUGUCGCCCAAACAGUGCAGAAAAGGUACCGUCAGGGACGCCACCGCUCGCCACGAUGGCAGUCUUGUCAUCUCCGCAUGUCACCGCGCACCGCUGGCUGCACAGCCUUCUGCCACGCGUGUCUGGAAAGGCCCCCAGAGCGACACGUUGGUGGAUGUGCUGGAGUGUGGGUACAGGGUGGCCGCCUGCCGCGGCAAGCGCCUUGCCGCGGCCGUUGUCUUGCCGGGUCCGGAAGCUUGUCGCUCACUGGGCCUCGAGAUGCCUUGGUUGGUCUUCCCGGCAAGCUCCUCUUGCCGGGGCCUUGUUGCCUUGCCGGGGCGCGUGGCGCGUCGCGGCAAGUUCCUUGGGAUGCCUUGGUUGGCCUUCCCGGCAAGCUCCUCUUGCCGGGGCCUUACCUCCUUGACUUGAAUACUUUGUUCUUGAAUGGCUCCAAAGGAAACCAUGGAGGACCUUGGCGGUCGCCCGGCAAGCCUUGCCGCGGGGCGCUGCAACUGCCCGUGCACAAGUUCGGGGUACUAGGGUACCCCUACUCUAGUACACCGACAGGAGCCCCCGGGCCUGGGCCACACACGGUGCCGAGCGCUGUUGGGCCAGGCCCAAAACAGGGCACGGGCACACACGGCCUGGGCCACGCCGAAUCUUGCUCCGUAUCCAUCGCGCCCUUCCCUAACGGCACGCGUUGAAUGCGGCGUCGUGGGAGAGAUCGUGGGUGGUUUCUUUAUUCGGAAGGGCGAAACGUCCGCCCCUCCCUCUUUAUAAGCAGAGGAAACAGGGGUAGUUCGCCCACCUUGCCGUCUGUUGCUCCGACUCCAAAAAUCUCCGCCGCUCCCCCCAUCAUCUCAAAGCCAAAAAAAGAACAGUGCUCCGCCCCCCAUUGCCACCGGCGCAACCAACGCCGCCGAUCUCCCUCGCUACCUCCGCCAUGGCUUCGAAAGCCGACAAGGGGAAGGGCGUGAAAUCGGCUGAGGCGCAACGGCUCGCGGCGCUGUGGAAGGAGCGGGCCCUCUUCUCCCCUCAGCUCGGCGCGAAGGAGCUGAGGGAGUACUUCUAUCUCUUCUGGUCGAUGGAGACACGGGCGCAUCCCCGCACGAGGGUACUCCCGGCCACCGCUUCGAGAUUGGCUCCGAAUGAACACCCCUUUUUCGCGCUGUUCUUCUACUGCGGGCUCUUCCCGCCCUUUUCUGAUUUCUUCUGCGACAUCAUGAACACCUACGGGUUCCGCCUCCUUGACUUCACCCCCAACGCUGUUCUGACCAUGGCGGUUUUCGCACAUUUGUGCGAAAACUUUGUCGGAGUCCACCCAAAUUUAGCCCUUUUCCGCCAUUUCUUCAUGCCUCGGGUCGAGAGAGGAGAGCCGCUUGCCGGAGGGAUCGCCUGGAUCUCGAGAGUCGGCAAGAAGGAGGCGUAUUUGGAGAGUGAGCUCCACAACAAGUGGGAGGAGUGGAGAGCGGAGUGGUGCUGGAUCGUCGAGGAGAACCCGCAGCCGUUCACCGCCGUGCGCCAAGCCCCAAUAGUACGCGGCAACGAUUGGAGCAGCGUGGCCCCGGAAGACGACAGGCUGAAGAUCGCCACCACCCGAAUCCUUCGCCUCAGGCUUCCCGGGCUCACUGUAGGCGCUGUAGGCACAGACUUUCUUCGCCGCCGCAUCGCUCCCCUGCAGGAGAGGGGGAGACCUGCCUGGGAGUUCAAGAACUCGGCGGAUAUCAUGAGGCUGCGCCCGGGCCUCAAUUUCCACUUCACCGUCCUGGAGCUAGAUGCGAUGCUCCUGGAGCUGUUCAAGCGCGACCCUCAGCACCCAUUUAUGUUGCCGCGGACUGUUGUUCCACUGUGCAACAAUUCGUCGCUUGAUCGGAUCCGCGCGAUGAUGCCGUUGUGCGAUUCGCACGGAAUCGCCCCAACUUGGCAAGAACCUGCGGAUGACGUCGUACAAGCGUUCUUCGACGACUUGGUGGAAGUGCCGGUCCGCACUGAUGAGCAGAAGAGCCUCACCCGCGACACCUGAUGAGAUGCAGCGCAUCGCCAUCAGGCUGGAAGAGGUGGCGGCAGCAGUUGCCGCAGGCGAGUUCGGGUUCACCAUGGAGGAGGCAGAGGCAGCAGAGGCGGCAAGCCUUGCCGAGCGCACGGAGUUUGCUGGCGAGGAAGAUCUUGCCGGCUCUGAAGCUGAGCCGAGCGAGCCCGGCAAGGAAGAGCCCGAACCUUCAGACAGCUUGCAGCAGGCGGAGCCCCCGGCCCUGCCAAGAAGGCGUCUCCGCAAAGCCGCAGACGUAGCAGGGCGGCAGACGGGCCAACAGCCGCCAAGCCGCGCGACGUGCUCUACCGCGGCAAGCACCGUUGCCGCAGGAGCGCCUCACGCCGCUGCGGCAACUGGCGCAGGGUCUUCCCGGUCCACCACCACUGCUCCUGCCAAGCGGGCGAGGGAGCCUACUCCUCCGCCUCGCCGCACCGGAGGCGAGCCGGACUUUGAUCUCACCGCGCUCAGCUCCGACGACGAAGAAGAAGAGUAAGAUCCCCCUGCCAUCCUCGUAGUUCUUCAAUUCUUGCUACCUUGUUGCUUUCGUCUUGUUUCUGACUUGUUUCGAUCUGGAUCCAUUCCUUUUCAGGACGCUGGCCCAGAGAGCGGCGAAGAGAGCCAAGGCCCCUGUGAUUGUCAUCGAAGAUGACCCCACCGUGUCAGCAGGUGGUGUGUCUGAGACCACCUUGACGGACCCGGCAGCUACUCCCCAGAGCAGCCCCCAGCGUGAGUACAUGGUUUACUUCUCGCUGACAGGCGCUCAUGAUUGCUCUUUCUUUGCUGAUAUCUUGCUUGUUAAUUUGUGUAGGAGCAGAACAGCCUCUCCAGGAGGGCCCGAAAGCCGCCCCCGAAGCGCCAUCUGCUUCAACUACGCCGCCAAGGGAGGAGUCCCCGGCAAGGGAGCGCUCUCCGGCAAGGGAGAACUCCCCGGCAAGGGACAGUUCUCCGGCAAGGGACGACACCAGUGAUCCUCUGGCGGUUGAUACCGCGGCCGCAGAUCCUAGUACAGGUAAUCUUCUUGCCUGAAAACUUCCCUUGGGUUCUUCUUCUCCUGAUUUUCUUCUUACAUAUGUGCUUGACUUCUCUCCCUUCUUCGUUCUUCAGAUCCAUCUGCCGUGGAGCCAAUGGAGACCGAGGAUGCCAGCGAGGGGGGCGCGCGUGGCAGCAACGACGGCGCCGCCGCCAACGAAGAAGGGGCCGGUGCUGAUGAGCCCGCCGGCGAAGAGGCCGCCAAGGCUGCCGCCGCAGAAGCUGGCGAGGGGUCGGGCGAUCGUACUGACGGCCCUGAGGCCGCAGGAGCACCAGGUGCUGUGCCGACCGCCAAUCCCUCCGCCGCUGCCGUGGAGCCAGGCUCCAAAGAGCCCCAGCCCGGCGCCUACUUGAAGGCCGGCGACGGUAUCUUCAUCAAGCUUCCCUGGGCGUCGAGCUCCAGGGCGCCGGUCGAAGGAGAAGCUUUUGACGAGGCGGUGCUCGCCUCCGCCGGGCUGUCAUUGGUCGAUGCGCCAAGCAGCAGUAGUGGCGAGCCUGAGGAGGAACAGCUGCUGCGGAAGGUGCUGUCACUCUACCGCGCACGACAAGCCAAGCUGGCUUCCUGGGAAGCGCUUGUGGCGAAGGCGGGAGUCGAUAUGGAGAAACGCGCGGAGGAGCUCCGGGGCCUCAAUCAAGAAGCUCUCCGGUCCCUGGCACAAGAGCGGGAGCGACUCGCCGAGGAGCGUACAGCCUUCCUUCUCGAGAAGGCCGAAGCUGAGGAGGAACAAAGGCUUGCUGCCGAGAGGCAGUCCGCGCGAGAAGGCGAGUUGGUGCAGCGGAAGGCCAACCUCGACAGCUACGAGGAGGAGCUUGCCGCGCACGAGGAAACACUUGUUGGGGUUCUCAAGGAAGCAAGGGAUGCUGCCGCAACUGCAGAGGCCGCCAAGAAAGAGCUGGAGGUGAAUGUGGCACAGCUGGAGGCCAAUAUCAGGAAGAGCGGCGAGGAGCUUGCCGCGCUCAAGCGUGAGCGCAAGAAGGAUGCUGCCGCCCAUGGUGAGCUGCAGGGUCUUCUUGCUAAGAGGAACAAGGAGCUCAGCACCGCCAAGGACUCCAACGCGGAUCUCGAGUUGAAGCUGGCUACGCUGACUCAGACGCUGCACGGUGCCAAGGAGCAAGAGGUGACCUUGUCGGAGAAGGUCAAGGCCAACGAGGCGCUGUUGGCGAAUGCCACUGCCGCCCACAACGCCUUCAGGGAGACAGUGGAGCAUUGGACUGAAGGUCUCGUGGAUGCUGCUGCUGCCAUCGACGGGGAGUUGGCGCAGCUGGGGAUAGAGGAUUUUGGGUAUCCCUCCGACAAGCAUCUCCAACCCAGCGCCAAGCUCAGCCUGUUCUUCAAGGGCGUGGCGAUGGCACUCCAGCGAGUCCGGGAGACGAUCCCAAAGCAGCUGGCCGACGAGUCGCGCAGGAUUUGCGCGGGAGUUCUCCAGAAGGUGCUGAUGAAGGUGGCGUUCCGCAAUCCAGGCCUCACCCUUACCAACGUCCUCAAAUCCUUGCCGCCGAAUGCUGAUCGGGAUGCGCUCAAGGCCCUUGUCGCACCCAUUGUGGACAAGGUGAACGAGAUCAAGAGGGUUGAGGGCGAUCGCGUAGAUUAGGCCGCCCAUUUUUCUUUCUCCUUGUCGCUGCUAGCCAUAUUAUAAGAUCAAUCUGUUAGAGCUGCGACAAGUUAUUUUGUAAUAUAACUCUAUUUCUGUUAUCGAUUGCUACGUUAUUUCCUUUACUAGAUUCCUUCCUUUGUAUGUUUUUACCCUACGCUUUUAGGGAACUUGUCGGCGCAGGCACCCGAGCCGCGAGCGCUAAGUGCGGGACGUCAGCAGCCUGCUGGCGGUGCCGCUUCCGACAAGAAACCUUGUCGCGACUAGAUGCAGCACACUUAAGUUGUUGAGCGGACUCGAAACAAAGUAAGGGCGCAACUAGCUACGAGUUGGUUCCUCCGCGCACAGGUUUUCCAUACAAAGUCCGGUCGUUCGAGGAAGAUAACUUAAAAAUUAAAACUAAUUGCUCAAACUUUGGCAACUUAGCUUUUCUGUCGUUUGCUUCCCGGCAAGGCGAAACUUCCUUAAACGACGCCUGGUCCACACCAUUAUCUACUCCUUCCCCUCCGGCAAACUUGUGUGCGAGGGAACCUUCCUUUCCUUUGUUGAGAAAAAGAAAGAAGAGAAAAUAAAGAUAUGGAGCCUUUCGGCUCGUUAUUGCUUACCGGAGGUAGGUGCUGCACAAAGUGUCAGAUAACACAUGCUAGAAAUCAUAUAAUGCAUGAAAUUGACAAGAUGUGCGGAGCACAUUAGCUUUACUUAUGCACGGGAUCUGCGCCCGGCUUUGUACAAAGGAUUACAUGCAACAUCGGCAAGACUUGUACAAAAGGUGGUUGUCGGAACAGGUUCCGGCAACCGCGCCCUACGGGUAAAACUUACGAAGAUGCUCAAUGUUCCAAGAGUUGCUCACCGGAGUGCCAUCUUCGGUCUCAAGGCGGACAGCGCCAGGCCUAGCGACUCGUUUCACCCGAUAAGGGCCUUCCCACUUCAGCGUCAACUUGUUGGAAUUCUUGGCGGAUUGAACACGCCGAAGAACAAGGUCGCCUUCCUCGAAGCUUCUGGCAUUAACUUUGCGGCUAUGGUAGCGGCGCAAAGCUUGCUGGUAUCGAGCAGCUCGUACAGCAGCCUGAAGACGAUCCUCCUAAAGGAGCAGUGCGUCAUCUUGUCGCAGUUGCUCUUGCUCAAGCUCAUCAUAAGCGAGCACUCGAGGUGAUCCGUAUACGAGUUCCAUGGGGAGAACUGCCUCUGCUCCAUAGACUAGAGCGAAAGGUGUCUGGACAGUGGCUCGAUUUGGCGUCGUCCUGAUCGACCAAAGAACCACCGGCAGCUCCUCGAUCCAGUUUCUUCCGCACUUGUGCAGCCUGUCGAAAGUUCUGGUCUUGAGCCCGCGCAGCACUUCAGCAUUUGCCCUCUCCGCUUGACCGUUGCUUCUUGGAUGAGCAACAGAAGCGAAGCAGACCUUGGCGCCAAGAUCUUGGACGUACUGCAUGAAGGUGCGGCUCGUGAAUUGUGUGCCGUUGUCGGUGAUGAUCCUGUUAGGGAUCCCGAAACGGCAAACAAUCGACCUGAAGAACUUGACUGCUGACUGUGCUGUCACCUUCCUCACUGGUUCCACUUCCGGCCACUUUGUGAACUUGUCGAUUGCAACGUACAAGUACUCAAAGCCCCCGACAGCUCGGGGAAAGGGGCCGAGGAUGUCGAGCCCCCAGACCGAAAAUGGCCAGGAUAAAGGAAUCGUCUGGAGAGCUUGAGCUGGCUGGUGUAUCUACUUGGAAUGGAACUGGCACGCUUCACACUUGGUUACUUGUGCAGUUGCAUCCUGGAGGGCUGUCGCCCAAAAGAAACCUUGCCGGAACGCUUUGCCGGCAAGUGCUCUUGCGCCAAUGUGGUGACCACAUGUGCCUCCAUGUAUCUCUGCCAACAGCUUUUGUCCGUCUUCCCGGCAAAUACACUUCAAUUUCACACCGUUGAGUCUUCUUCUGUACAGUGUGCUGUCGACAAACUGGUACAUACUCGACUGCCGGGCUACUUUUUCCACUUCUUCUUGCUCUUCGGGAAGUUCUCCUGUCUGAAGGAAAUGGACAAUCUGCUGUGCCCAUGCUGGAGCUUGAGGCUCGACAACAAGGACUAAAGGCACAUCUGCUACUGCGGGAACAUCCGCUUCUACGGCGAGAACCUGUGGUUCUGCCGGAGCUUGAUGUCCCCCGGCAAGCUUGCCGGAGCAAAACUUGUCGGGAGCGUCUGCUUCAACGGAACAAGCCCUAAGGCCUGCCGGAGCAGACCGCUCCUCAGCAUCCUUGGUGUUGAUCUUGGGGACCUUCUUGGCGGCGGCUUCGGGGAGCUCUGCCGAAAAGUAGUCACCGGAAAUCAACUUCCUCUUAUUGCUCUGUCCCAUUGAUGGUGCUACGGAUGGUUGAGUCAGCUUGAGCGCAAAAAUCCCUGGUUCCACAGGUAACUUUAGUGCGGCGCACUUCGACAGGGCAUCAGCAAUGUCAUUCUGAGCUCUUGGAACAUGCUCCAUCUGUAGGCCGUCAAAGUGCUCUUUUAGCUUUCUCACUUCAUCAACAUACGCUUGCAUCAACGGACUCUGAUAGUUCUUGUUCACUUGGCGGACAACAAGCUAUGAGUCACCCCUGACAAUGAGCUUCUUGAUCCCAAGGUCUGCUGCGAUCCUGAGACCGGCAAGCAAUCCUUCAUACUCUGCAGUAUUGUUGGUUGCUUGCUCCUUGCGAAAGUGCAUCUGGACUACGUACUUGAGGUGCUCUCCGGUGGGUGCGACAAGCAGCACGCCUCCUCCGGCGCCUUGCAGCGAGAAGGCACCAUCAAAGUACAUCAGCCACUCUUUGCUUGCCUCCUUGACGGGGAUGCUCGUCUCCGGAGUUUCUUCAUCUGGUGUUGGCGUCCAUUCUGCUAUGAAUUCCGCCAAUGCUCUGCUUUGGAUAGUUGAAGUACUUUCAAACUUGAGGCCAAAGCUUGAUAGUUCCAGUGCCCACUCGACAAUCCUGCCUGUCGCUUCUGGAUUUUGCAGUAUCCUCUUCAGCGGAAAACGAGUGACGAUUGUGAUCUCAUGCGCUUGGAAGUAAUGGCGCAGCUUUCUCGAGGCCAUGAGAAGGCCGAAAAGCAAUUUCUGCACGCCGGAGUACCUUGAUCUAGCCCCCUGCAGAAGGGAACUGACAAAGUAAGCUGGGCGCUGCACCAUUCUCUUCUGCAUCUUAUCAUGCUCCUGUGCAGAUCCAUCCUUGUCGGGACCAGAGCUUGUCGGCGAAGCCCCUUGCUUGUCGCUGGAUGUACCUGCCGUGGUUGCCGGCUCAUCAUCUGCCUCCCUCUCCGCCACUAACGCAGCACUAACCACUUGAUUGGUUGCCGCUAUAUACAGCAGCAACUUCUCUCGUGGUUUAGGUGCGACAAGUGUUGGAGUGGAGGACAGGUAUCUCUUCAAGUCCUGCAGCGCAACCUCCGCCUCCGGAGUCCAUUUCAUUGGACCUGCCUUUUUCAAUAUUUUGAAAAAGGGCAGGGCGCGCUUAGCAGAUCUAGAGAUAAACCUGCUGAGAGCAGCCACGCAACGGGCAAGCCUUCGUACAUCCUUGACACGCUUUGGUGCUUCGAUCUGCUCAAUGGCCUUGAUCUUGUCGGGGUUGGCUUCAAUUCCGCGCUGAGACACGAAGAACCCGAGAAGCUUGCCAGAAGGGACUCCAAACAUGCACUUCUCGGGGUUAAGCUUGAGGUUGAUCUUGCACAGAUUUGUAAAUGUUUCGUCCAAAUCUUGAAUCAGGGUCGCCCUGUCCUUGCUCUUGACCACUAUGUCAUCCAUGUAGGCUUCCACAUUUCUGUGCAUCUGCGGCUCAAAAGCAUGGUGGACUACCCUUGUAAAUGUUGAACCAGCAUUCUUCAAACCGAAAGACAUCCGUACGAAACAGUACGUGCCACACGGGGUGAUGAAUGCAGUCUUCUCCUCAUCCUCUUCUGCCAUGAAGAUCUGAUGGUAUCCUGAGUAUGCAUCAAGAAAUGAAAGCAAAUCACAUCCGGCCGUGGAGUCAACAAUCUGAUCGAUGCGCGGCAAGGGAAAUGGGUCUUUGGGACACGCUUUAUUGACAUCAGCAAAGUCGAUACAAAGCCUCCAUUUCCCGUUUGCCUUGCGUACAACUACAGGAUUGGCCAACCACGUAGGAUGGAGCACUCCUCUGACAAGGCCUGCUACUUCCAACUUCUUGAUUUCUUCUGCGAUGAAUUCUUGGCGCUCCACUGCCUGUUUCCUGACUUUCUGCUUGACGGGCCGCGCAUGAGGACAGACGGCAAGGUGGUGCUCAAUUACUUUCCUGGGAACACCGGGGAUGUCAGACGGUUGCCAUGCAAACACAUCGACAUUCGCCCGCAGGAAAGCAACAAGCGCGCUUUCCUAUUUGGGGUCAAGAGUGGCACUGAUGGUGAAGGUACCACCAGUGCCGUCCUCCUUGGCGGACACCUUCUUGGUCUCAGGUGGGGCUGCCAUUGUCUUCUUACACUUGCCGGUGGAGCUCGAUGGUGCGUCCUCGACGGUAGCGCAGCACUCCGAAGAGGUGCGCUUGCCAGAGUGGGCAUCAGAGCUCUUGCCAGACUUUGUCUUCUUCUUCCUCCCGGGAGCUUCAGCGGCAAGUGACUUGCAAUCUGUUGCGGCUGUUGCUUCCCGGUAGAUCUUGUUGGCACAGAUAAGAGCAUACUUCUUGUCACCAGGGACAGAGAUGACACUUAUUGGGCCUGGCAUCUUCAGAACAUUGUAUGGAUAAUGAGAGGCUGCCAUGAACUUGGCAAGUGCUGGACGGCCAAGGAUUCCAUUGUAAGGCAAUGGAAAGUCAGCAACAUCAAACGUAACCCUCUCAGUCCUGAAGUUUAACUCGCUGCCAAAUGUUACCGGCAACGUGAUCUUUCCCUUCGGCUUGCUCCUUCCCGGGUUGAUUCCUUGAAACGUACCAGUCUCUUCGAGCUCGCUGUCAGGGAUCUGGAGUUCUGGAGCACCGCGGAGGAGAUCAGGUUCAAGCCGGCCCCGCCGUCAACUAGCAUCUUAGUGACUUUGAGGUUGCGGAUAGUUGGUUAAACCAACAUCGGCAAGCACCCGACCGCAGUUAUGCGAUCAGGGUGGUCCUCAAUAUCAAAGAUGAUAGGCGUGCUGGACCAUUUCAGAGGCUUGCGUGACUCGACGGGUGGUUCUGCUGCAUUAACUUCCCGCACCCACUGCUUGAGCUGGCGGUGUGAAGUAUGCAUAGAAGCACCGCCAUCAACGCACAGGACCUCUGUGGCUUUCUGGAACUCCUGCUCAUCAGUCUCAAAAUCAUCCAUGUCUUCUUCGUCGUCUUCAUCCUCAUCCUUGUCGCGGCCGCGAGGAGGUCUGUCUCUUUGCCGCUGCUUGGCCUUGCCGCGGCGUCCUCCUCGGCCGGGACGUUUCUUGCCGGAUCCUCCAGCACCUUCCUGGGCCUUCUCCUUGUCGCGCCGCUCGUAUUCAGCUUUCUGUUGCUCAACAAGCUGCUCGACUUUCUUGCAGCUCUGGAGAUCGUGGCCCUUGGUGCGGUGGAUCUUGCAGUACUGCUUGUUGGUGCCGUCCUGCUUGUCGGCGACCACCACCUCUGCGGCGACCUCCUUGCUGGAGCUGCCAGCUUUGGGCGUCGUGCCGAGCUGCUCAACGAUUAGCACCUCUUUGCCUUUCUUCCUCCUGUUGUUCCGCCGCCGGUUUUUCUUUGCCGGGGCAGCAUCAUCACUGUCAGAUCCCCCUGCUCCUAUGUUCUCUCCGGGGAGUCUCCUCCCUUCCUCAGCACGUGCACACUUGUCGGCCAGGGCAUAUAUCUCACUAACGUCCCUGAUCUUGCACAUCGCCAUUUCCUCCCGCAUCCUGCGGUUUCGCACGUUCUGAUGGAACGCGCUGAUUACCGCGGCAGGGUGGACAUCUGGGAUGUUGUGCUGCACGCUACUGAAUCUCUGAAUAUACUUGCGCAGGGGUUCUCCUUCCUUCUGGGCGAGCAGAUGAAGGUCACUCUCUUGGCCAUGAGGCUUGUGGCCUCUUGUGAAGGCGCCGACAAACUGAUGGCACAAAUCGGCCCAAGAGGAUAUGGAGUUGUCCGGCAAGUGCAUGAGCCAGGAUCUGACGUUGGGCUUGAGCACCAGCGGGUAGUAGUUGGCAAGGAUCUUGUCGUCCCGUCCCCCGGCAGCCUGCACCACAAUGGUGUAGAUGCUGAGGAACUCCGAUGGAUGCGUCUUGCCGUCGUACUUCUCCGGUACGUCUGGCUUGAAGUUCUUUGUGCUGGGCCACUCGACUUGCCGCAGCUCACGAGUGAACGCAGGGCAACCUACCGCGUACGGCAGAUCGCCUGGUUCCCCUGGCGGAUGCAUGUCAACAGAAGGCCCAGCAUGCUUGUCGGAUUGACGUCGCGCUUCUCUUCGGCGCUCGAUGCGAGUACGAGUGUCUUCUUGCUGUCGAUCGUGAAGAACUUGGCGCUGAUCGCGACGAGCUCGUGGAUCCGACGAUGCGGUGGAGUCGCUGUCGAGGUGGAUCCGGCGAGUCGGCGAUCUUGGCCUUCGGGGUGGUGAUUUCAUGGUUGUUGCACCCCCACCAGUUUCAUCGCCACCGGCCCGCGCCUGGCAAACCUGCCGCGGUGGCGACGCACUCGGCUGCCGCAGAGUGUCGCCAUUGGCGUAGCCGAUGAGACUCUGAAUGGUGGCCCUCCAUUCGUCGAUCUUGUCCGACGUCGGAGGGUAAUCCAGGAGCAGUUGAGCUCGCGCCAAAGCUUCUGCCGGAGUGGUGGGUGGCAGUGGCGGACGGCGCGAGGAGCGGGAUGUGCUCGGACUUCUAACUAUGUUAGAAGGAGCAUUAUCCCGUCCGGGCGACCGUGUCUUUCUCGUGCUGGCACGUUGGCGUGCAUGCUGGUCUUGAGCGCCUUGGGAUCCACCAGCUUGAUCUUGGCCCAACAAACAUAUGGUACUGCGAGUACCAUGACGUUGUCGGUCCUGCGCCUCCUGAGAUGGGCGCGGAACAAGCGCGGACGUCGAGGUCUGCGCCGCCUUGCCUUUGGGCCUGGCAGCGUCGUGAGCUUCCUUGUCGACGUCCGUCCUUCCGCCGACGUCUACCCCACCACCCGUUUGCUCCGGUGGCGGUGGGAUCAACGUGGACGGAACUGCUGCCUCCGAAGCCUUCUUCUUCGGUGGCAUGUUGAUGAAGAAAAUGAAGAUCUAGCUCGUGUGAAUGCCGGAUCAGGUUCACACAAUCUCGACGCCCCCUACCUGGCGCGCCAAAGAUGUCGGGGAAACUGAUCCACGAACACCUAUGGGGCCGGCGGACCGUGGCCCCUUUCGGUUCGGCGGGGGGCGGAGGUCGCGCGAAGAGCAGAUCGAGGCGAAGCACACGAGCAGUUUACCCAGCUUCGAAGCUCUCCAGAGAGAUAAUACCCCUACUGCUGCUUGUCUGAUUCUAUUAUGUUCUUGCUCGAGAGUGAGCUAAGUGUUUCCCUGGUUUCCGAAUGAGUCGAACCUCCUCUACGUUGCGCAUGGGCCUCCUUUUAUACGCUAAAGGGGUCACCGACAGGUGGCAACGCAGAGAAGGGUAAAAGUGUAAAAAGAGAGGUGGUUGGUACAGCUACCUGUACAGUGCAUCCUACCUAACCCUGACGGCAAGGGACAAGGGCAUUAAAUGCCCGUCUGUGUCGCCCAAACAGUGCAGAAAAGGUACCGUCAGGGACGCCACCGCUCGCCACGAUGGCAUUCUUGUCAUCUCCGCAUGUCACCGCGCACCGCUGGCUGCACAGCCUUCUGCCACGCGCGUCUGGAAAGGCCCCCAGAGCGACACGUUGGUGGAUGUGCUGGAGCGUGGGUACAGGGUGGCCGCCUGCCGCGGCAAGCGCCUUGCCGCGGCCGUUGUCUUGUCGGGUCCGGAAGCUUGUCGCUCACUGGGCCUCGAGAUGCCUUGGUUGGUGUUCCCGGCAAGCUCCUCUUGCCGGGGCCUUGUUGCCUUGCCGGGGCGCGUGGCGCAUCGUGGCAAGUUCCUUGGGAUGCCUUGGUUGGCCUUCCCGGCAAGCUCCUCUUGCCGGGGCCUUGCCUCCUUGACUUGAAUACUUUGUUCUUGAAUGGCUCCAGAGGAAACCAUGGAGGACCUUGGCGGUCGCCCGACAAGCCUUGCCGCGGGGCGCUGCAACUGCCCGUGCACAAGUUUGGGGUACUAGGGUACCCCUACUCUAGUACACCGACAGUAGCGAUCCAAACAGAGGCCCACACCCUGAUAAUCCCCAAGUGCAGGGAAUCAUCGUAGCAAUUCCCAAAGGUGGAAGUGAUAAGUAUGGAGUGUCGAACCCACAAGGAGCUAAAGGUAAGAUCAAUAUUCUCUCAAGCCCUAUCUGCCACUGAUACGACUCUACGUGCACCGAACGUUUGCUUCCAACUAGAAACAAGAAAUAAACUUUGUUGUGGGUAUAAAGAGGAUAACUUUGCAUGAUAUCGGAGAGCUAAAAUAUAAAAGUAGGUGCUGUUAUCAUAAAGUUAUAAUAUAUUACUAAAUAUUAUAAAUAGCAAGUGUGAAAUAAUGGUGGAUCGGUGUGCGGAAUUAUCCUAGGCAAUUGUUAACAAGAUCGGUAGUCGUCAUUGCAAUUUCAUAUGAGGGAGAGGCAUAAGCUAACAUACUUUCUCUAGUUGGAUCAUAUGCACUUAUGAUUGGAACUAUAGAAAGCAUCCACAACUACUAAAGAUCAUUAAGGUAAAACCCAACCAUAGCAUUAAAGCAUCAAGUCCCCUUUAUCCCAUACGCAACAACCCCCUUACUCAGGUUUGUGUUUCAGUCACUCACGCAACCCACUAUAAGCGAAUCAUGAACGCAUUGCAACACCCUACAGAGGGAAUCCCUCACGCUUGCACGACAUGGAGGAUACCAUAGGACAGCACCAAAAUAAAACAUACAACUCGUACCAAUCUAGACCAUCAAUCAACCCAAGGACAAAAGAUAUCUACUCAAAACAUCAUAGGAUGGCAACACAUCAUUGGAUCAAAAUAUGUGGCAUAAAGCACCAUGUUCAAGUCGGGACUACAGCGGGGUGCGGGAGAGUGGACCGCGUAAAAGAGAUGAGGAUGGUGAUGUUGGUGAAGACGGUCACCGCGGCGAUGAUUCCCCUCCCGAUGGCACUUUGGUGCCACCAAGAGAGAGGAGGAGAGGUUCCCCCCCUUGUGCUUCCUCCUCCAUGGCUUUCCCCCUCUGGUCCUUGGCCUUCAUGGCGAUGAUGGCCCCUCCGAGAUCCUCCUCCAUGGCCUCCGGUAAUGAUGGCCCCCUCCGGCAGGGUGCUGGAGAGGGCCUAGAUUGAUUUCUCGUGGCUAUAGAGGCUCGCGGAGGCGAAACUUCCGAUCUAGGUUAUUUCCCCAAGGUUUCUAUAUUUAUAGGAAUUUUUGUGUAGGUUUCACGUCAGGGGGGUCUCCGGGCUGUCCACGAGAUCGGGGGUGCGCCCUAGGGGGGUGGGCGCGCCCCCCACCCUCGUGGGAAGCCCGGGACUCUUUUGGACCAACUCCGAUGCUCCGUGGUCUUCUUUUGGUCCAUAAAAAAUCAUCAAAAAUUGGCACGUCAAUUGGACUCUGUUUGGUAUUCCUUUUAUGUAAAACUCAAAAACAAGGAGAAAACAGAAACUGGCACUGGGCUCUAGGUAAAUAGGUUAGUCCCAAAAAUCAUAUAAAAUGGCAUAUAAAUGCAUAUAAAACAUCAUAGAUGGAUAAUAUAAUAGCAUGAAUACUUCAUAAAUUAUAGAUACGUUGGAGACGUAUCAGCAUCCCCAAGCUUAAUUCCUGCUCGUCCUCGAGUAGGUAAAUGAUAAAAGAAAUAAUUUAUGAAGUGUGAAUGCUAGCAGGUGCACAAGUUUGAUUAAUGAUAAUUUCAAUCACCUUUUCUAGCAUCAAUAUGUGUCAUAAUAGUAGCUUAUCUCAUAAAACUUUUCAUGAUCAAGUAACAAUCUAUUCACAAUGUCAAGUAUGGUUCAAAAACUUCAUUGAGAACUAACAAACUAUAAUCUUAGUCAUUGUAGCAAUUGCAAUUUAUCAUAACAUUGGAAAGAGUCAAUAAUAGAGCUUUUCAGCAAGUCCACAUACUCAACUAUCAUAUAGUCUUCUACAAUUACUAAAACUCACGCAAUACUUGUGGUUAUAGAGUUUUAAUCGGACACUGAGAAAGAUAGGGGCUUAUAAUUUCACCUCCCAACGUAUUCACCUUUAGGUGAUGUCAACAAUAAUAGCUCAUGCUAACUUACAUCCAAUUGGAUAUAUAUAUAUAUAUAUAUAUAUAUAUAUCAGGAUCUUUCUAACACGAGGUGCUUGCCAAAGGAUAAAAUGAAAAAGGGAAAGGUGAGGAUCACCUUGACUCUUGCAUAAUAUAAAAGACAUAAAGUAAAAGAUAGGCCCUUUGUAGAGGGAAGCAGAGGUUGUCAUGAGCUUUUAUGGUUGGAUGCACAAAAUCUUAAUGCAAAAGAACGUCACUUUAUAUUGCCACUUAUAUAUGGACCUUUAUUAUGCAGUCUGUCACUUUUAUUGCUUCCAUAAUAAGAUCGUAUAGAGCUUAUUUUCUUCACACUAAUAGAUCAUACAUAUUUAGAGAGCAAUUUUUAUUGCUUGCGCCGACGACAACUUACUUGAAGGAUAUUACUCAAUCCAUACGUAGGUAUGGUGGACUCUUAUGGCAAAACUUGGUUCAAAGAUAUUUGGAAGCACAAGUAGUAUCUGAUGAGGUUAUGUACCUAGGGUAGGGUCAUGGACCUAUCUGGGAUACCCUACCCAAGGACAUCCUUAGAAGAAGCUACCUUCCAGUCGACCAAGAGGGACUUCACUCGACCAAGAGAGACAUCACUCAACGACCAUGAAGCCAACCACUCGACGGCCAGGAGACCUAAAGCCACUCAGCACGCAACGGUCUGCCAUUAAGUAGCUUUAAUAGUCUUCAUGGCACUUUACGAGGGCAUUACCAGUAACCCCCUAUCUUAAUGUACUUUAAACCCUGCAUAACUGAGGGUCGGAGGGGUCUGGCGGACUCUAUAUAAGCCACCCCCCUCCUCAGUGUAAAGGGUUCGCACCCCUGUAACUCAUAUACACAGAAACCAGUCGACCGCCUCCGGGCUCCGAGACGUAGGGCUGUUACUUCCUCCGAGAAGGGCCUGAACUCGCUAAAUACUCGUGUGUACAACUACUCCAUAGCUAGGAACUUGCCUCUCCAUACCUACCCCCCAUUCUACUGUCAGGCUUAGAACCACGACAGUUGGCGCCCACCGUGGGGCAGGUGUCUUAGCGACUUUUUGGAGAAGUUGCAAUUUGUCCGAUUGCCUUCAUGAUGGUUUCGGGCGGAGCUCUGGUCGAGGGCCGCGAGAUCCGUCUCGGUGCGCUCGCUUUCAUCGCCGACGACUCCGCUUGGCUCCAGGAGGCACCACUCGACAUCGACGCGCUCCCCGUCCGCGGGGCGACGCACUUUCGGGCGUGUGUCCGCGGCGUCCUGCUGCGUCAGCCGUCGACCCCAUACUGGUCAACUCCUGUGCUAUCUUCCCUCCCUGUCUCCCGUCAGCGCAAGCGCUCCGGUCGGUCGAGGCUUCAGCGAUGGGUGAAACACGCAGUGGCUCGCCAAUCGGCCACCAUCCAAGUGGCGGCAAUUGAGCCCGACGAAUCUCUCUACGGCCUGUUCGAUCUGUCGACUGGCUCCGUAGAGACUGCAUCCGAGUGCGACAGGAGUGAUCCAGCGGUGGAGGUCCUGAUGGUCAAUGGGCCUUGUAGCCCUCCCAGUUUCCCCCGCAUUGACGGGAUGGACGAUGGAGGCGACCCCGCUCAGGCCCACGAAGAAUAUCAGCCCGAGCCGCUCACUUCUCAGCAAAGAGAAGAUCUUCGCUGCCGGAACAUGGAUGCCCUGCAUACUCCGAUCGCAGGAGAAACUCCUGAGGCUCGUGCCUUGGAAGAGGCGCGUUUGGCCAACUUGGCUGAAUGCACUCGACUAGAGAACCUCCAGCGAGCACUCGACGAGCGUGCGCGUCAACGAGUACCCGACUCCAGCCGACGUCAACUCUUUCCGCAACCGACUCAGGUAUAUCGAACCCCGAUUCAAAAUUUGGCAGCUGCAGCCCGUAUAGCGGAGUCAAUUCAGCCAUCUCAGUCGGAGGCUGUAAGAGGCUUGAUGCAGAUCAGAGAUUGGCUCCGGGCGGCAGGAGAUCAGAAUUCAGUUGUGUCACAGUCGCGCAACAGGAUUCAUAGUCGAUCUGUCGCUGCGAAUACUGUUCAGUCUGCUCACAGCCCAAGGUCGCCUCCGAGGCGCGUGGGACGUGAAGGCCGGCGGGACCAGUAUGAUGAUCGAUUUGAUCGUGAUGAUAGGCGUCGAGUGCCCACUCCUCCCCCGAGAAGUGGGUCUAACGCCCAUCGGCAGCAAGAUGACAGGCGCCAGCUCAGUGUUGGGUGGAGAGCUCCAGUCGACCCCAGAGAGCCAGGCUUUGAGGCGAGAUCCAUCAUCGUGCAAGGUUUGGUCGACCGGAACAGAGCUCACAGAGGUGGCCAUGACAGAGAUGUGCCCACAAGCAGCCGAGUCCACGUUUCAGGUCCAGAAUGCUUUAGCAGAGCCAUGAGAGCCGCAGUGAUACCCCCCAACUUUAGGUUGGCGACUGGAGUAAGUAAGUUCACCGGAGAGUCUAAGCCUGAAACUUGGCUUGAAGACUACCGAGUGGCUGUACAAAUUGGUGGCGGUAAUGAUGAGGUGGCCAUGAAGCAUCUGCCACUUAUGCUAGAGGGUUCGGCCAGGGCGUGGUUGAAUCAGUUAGCUCCUAGCAGCAUUUACACCUGGGAAGAUCUUUCCCGAGUGUUCGUCAGAACGUUCGAGGGAACUUGCAAGCGACCGGCCGGAUUGACAGAGCUGCAAGUUUGCGUAUAGAAGUCGAGUGAAACACUGAGAGAUUACAUCCAGAGAUGGAUCACUUUGCAUCAUACUGUAGAGAAUGUGUCGGACCAUCAAGUGGUCUGCGCCUUCAAGGAUGGUGUCAAGAACAGAGAGUUGAGCCUGAAGUUUGGUCGAACUGGAGAUAUGACCUUGAGUCGGGUGAUGGAAAUAGCCACCAAGUACGCCAAUGGCGAAGAAGAGGACCGACUCCGGAGUGGCAAGUACAAGCCGAGUCAGUCGGAGAAAGGAAACUCUAGUCGGAAGCAGAAGCGGAAGGCCGAGCCGGCUGCUCCUGGAGAGGCUCUAGCCGUGACUCAGGGCAAAUUCAAAGGGAAGCCCAAAGGAUCUUGGAACCCCAAGAAGGUAAAGGAUAAGGAAGGUAAUGACGUGAUGGAUCUGCCGUGUCAUAUCCACACGAAGAAAGAGGAAGAGGGUAACUUCAUCUACCCAAAGCAAUUCACUCGCCAGUGCCGGCUCUUAAUCCAGCAGUUUCAAGGAAAACAGCCGAAGGACAAAGAGAAGGAGUCGGACAAGGCCGAGGACAAGGAGGACAAUGAUGGAGAGUACCCUCAUGUCAACUCCACUCUUAUGAUUUUUGCUGAUGUAGAGAGCAAAAGUCGACUGAAAGUGAUCAACCGUGAGGUCAAUAUGGCCGCCCCGGCGACACCAAGCUAUCUGAGAUGGUCGCAAACUCCCAUUACUUUCGACCAGUCUGAUCACCCUACUCACAUUGCCACCCCUGGGAGGCAAGCGCUGGUGGUCGACCCAGUCGUCGAAGGCACUCAACUGAUGAAGGUAUUGAUGGAUGGCGGCAGUGGAUUGAAUAUACUGUAUGCAGAGACGCUCAAGGGAAUGGGCAUUCCGAUGUCCAGGCUCAGUUCCAGCAACAUGAGUUUUCACGGAGUCAUCCCUGGAAAGAAGGCUGAGUCACUCGGCCAAAUAGCUCUGGAUGUAGUGUUCGGCGACUCGAAGCAUUUCCGCAAAGAGAAGCUGACAUUUGAAGUCAUGGAUUUCCAAAGCGCCUACCACACUAUUUUGGGAAGACCAGCCUAUGCCCGCUUCAUGGCUCGACCAUGUUAUGUGUACCUCAAAUUAAAGAUGCCUGGCCCCAAAGGCGUGAUCACUAUCACUGGCAGCCGGAAGAUGGCAGAAGAGUGUUUCCAGAAAGGCUCAAAGAUUGCGGAUGACCAGAUAACAGUGGUAGAGCUGGAAGGUUACAAGAAAAAUGUAGAUCCGAGUGAUUUGUUACGGGCCAAGAAGCCCGCCACAGAGUCAGCGUUCCAGUCGUAUGGGGAGACGAAGCCAGUUCAUAUCCACCCGACCGACCCCAACGCAGCUCCGACCCACAUUUCCACAACACUCGACUCUAAAUAGGAAGAAGCGCUCAUCCAGUUCCUCCGUGAGAACUGGGACAUCUUUGCAUGGAAGCCAGCUGACAUGCUGGGUGUUCCCAGGGGGCGGGCUGAGCAUCGCCUUAGAUUCGACUCAAAAGCAAAACCUGUUAAAGAACAUCUUCGACAGUCCUCCGUUCAGAAGAAAAAAGCCAUUGGCGAGGAGGUGGCUCGACUCCUUGCAGCAGAGUUCAUCCGAGAAAUAUGCCACUCCGAGUGGCUCGCCAAUGUCAUCAUGGUUCCCAAGAAGGACAACUCACUUCGCAUGUGCAUUGAUUUCAAACAUAUCAAUCGGGCCUGCCCAAAAGAUCAUUUUCCUCUCCCUCGCAUCGACCAAAUUGUCGACUCAACUGCGGGGUGCGAGAGAUUGUCUUUUUAGACGCUUAUUCCGGGUAUCAUCAGAUCCGUCUGUAUGGACCUGACAAAAUCAAAACAGCUUUCAUCACUCCAUUCGGGUGCUUCUGCUAUAUCACCAUGCCAUUCGGCCUCAAGAAUGCCGGAGCCACGUUCAUGAGAAUGAUUCAAAAGCGUUUACUCACUCAAAUCAGUCGGAAUGUGGAAGCAUACAUGGAUGAUAUCGUGGUCAAGGCACGAAAGGGUUCCGACCUGUUGACUGACCUAGCUGAAACCUUUGCCAAUCUUAGGAGGUAUGAUAUCACGCUCAAUCCAUCAAAGUGCACAUUCGGAGUACCUGGCGGAAAGUUACUCGGUUUUCUCGUUUCAGAACGAGGAAUCGAUGCUAACCCAGAAAAAGUUGGUACCAUACUCCGAAUGAAACGCCCUGUGCGUGUGCACGACGUCCAUAAGCUUACUGGAUGCUUGGCCGCGCUAAGUCGAUUCAUCUCUCGCCUCGGUGAAAAGGCAUUGCCCCUUUACCGACUGAUGAAGAAGGUAGACAAGUUCGAGUGGACUCCAGAAGCUGAUGCAGCGUUUGCCGAGCUAAAAACUCUGCUCUCCACCCAGCCAAUGCUUGCUGCUCCAAUCAGCAAAGAGCCUCUGUUGCUUUAUAUUGCAGCCACAGGACAAGUCGUCAGUAUAGUACUUACGGUCGAGCGGGAAGAAGAAGGGAAAGCCUUCAAAGUUCAGUGCCCAGUGUAUUAUCUCUCUGAUGUUUUGACCCCGUCGAAGCAAAGAUAUCCCCAUUAUCAGAAGCUCGUAUAUGGGAUCUACAUGACCAUGAAGAAGGUUGCUCAUUAUUUCUCUGAUCAUGACAUUACAGUCGUCAGCGACACACCAUUGUCAGAGAUUCUGCACAACAGAGACGCAACUGGUCGAGUGGCUAAAUGGGCGAUUGAACUCCUUCCCCUUGAUAUCAAAUUCAAGGCAAAGAAAGCCAUUAAGUCCCAGGCUAUAGCAGAUUUCCUUGCCGAGUGGAUUGAGCAACAGCAACCGACUCAAGUUCACUCGGAGCAUUGGACCAUGUUCUUUGAUGGCUCUAAGAUGUUAAAUGGUUCUGGUGCUGGGGUUGUUUUGGUUUCCCCCCGAGGAGACAAACUCAGAUAUGUGCUCCAAAUCCACUUCGAUUCCUCCAACAAUGAAGCAGAAUAUGAAGCACUCUUGUAUGAGUUGCGCAUGGCCAUUUUACUCGGCGUCCGUCGCCUUAUGGUCUAUGGCGACUCAGAUUUGGUGGUCAAUCAGGUGAUGAAGGAGUGGGACGUUAGAAGCCCAACCAUGACUGGAUAAUGCAAUGCAGUGAGGAAGCUCGAAAAGAAGUUCGAAGGGUUAGAGCUCCACCACAUACCCCGACUGAAAAGUCAAGCAGCUGACGAUUUGGCGAUGAUAGGAUCCAAGAGAGAAGCCAUCCCCAGUGAUGUGUCCUUGGAGCAUAUCCACACUCCGUCAGUCGUAGAAGAUCCUUUUAUCGACGAAGCUCCGCAACCUAAGAGUGUUACGGAUCUGACUGAGGUUGAAGUCCCAGCAGUGGUCGACCUGAUCAUGGAAGUUUUAGUGAUCAGUCCCGAUUGGGCAGUACCGUAUAUCGCGUAUAUAUUGAGGAAAGAACUCCCGGAGGACGAAGAAGAGGCUCGACAGAUCAUCCGCCGAUCUAAGGCCUUUACCGUGAUAAGGGGACAGCUGUACAGACAAAGCGCGACUGGAGUUGGUCAGAAAUGCAUAACGCCGGAGGAAGGUCGAAUAAUCCUUGAUGACAUCCACUCGGGGACCUAUGGCCAUCAUGCGUCCUCUCGGACCAUCGUGGCCAAAGCAUACCGAGCCGGAUUUUAUUGGCCAAGAGCGAAUGAAAUGGCAAAGGAGAUAGUCGACAAGUGCGAGGGACGUCAAUUUUACUCCAAUAUGUCACACAAGCCCGCGUCAGCUUUGAAGACCAUACCACUCGUCUGGCCCUUUGCAGUAUGGGGGUUGGAUAUGGUUGGUCCUUUGAGAACAGGCAGAAGCGGUUUCACCCAUGUGCUGGUAGCAGUCGACAAGUUCACCAAGUGGAUUGAGGCCAAACCCAUCAAGAACCUCGAUGCCGGUACUGCUGUCAGGUUCAUCAGAGAAUUGAUAUUCAGAUAUGGAGUCCCGCACAACAUCAUCACGGACAACGGGUCAAACUUCGAUUCCGAAGAAUUCAGAGCUUUCUGCAUGUCUCAAGGCACACGAGUCGACUAUGCUUCAGUCGCCCAUCCACAGUCGAAUGGACAGGUGGAACGAGCCAACGGCUUGAUUCUCAAAGGGUUGAAACCCCGUUUGAUGCGCGAUCUCAAGCAUGCGGCUGGUGCAUGGGUCGACGAACUUCCCUCGGUGCUUUGGGGGUUAAGGACCACGCCCAAUCGGUCGACUGGAAGAACUCCAUUCUUCUUAGUCUACGGAGCUGAAGCAGUCUUGCCGAGUGACCUCCUCCACAAUGCUCCCCGGGUCGAGCUCUACACCGAAGCUGAAGCAGAACGAGCGCGGCAGGAUGCAGUCGACCUUUUAGAGAAAGAAAGGGAGAUGGCUCUGAUCAGAUCGACCAUUUACCAACAAGGCUUGCAUCGCUUCCACGCCAAAAACGUGAAGAGCCGAGCCUUCCAGGAAGGAGAUUUAGUUCUCCGAGUGGAUCAGCAGAAACCACACAAGCUUGCUCCUUCUUGGGAAGGUCCCUUCAUCGUCACCAAGGUUCUCCACAUUGGAGCAUACCGUCUUUACAAUGUCGAGCAUCAGAUCGACGAGCCCCGAGCUUGGAACGCGGAGCUUCUCCGCCCCUUUUACACUUAAGUAUUCACUCGGAUGAGUUGUAAUAAAAGUACUUCUGUAGUUUAUUUAUCAAAGACAAGAGCUUUAUUUCUUUUGUUAUUUCUUUUGUCCACACAAAACAAUCCCCCAGUGGGUGGCUCGGUUGUGAAUCCGAUUCGUCUAAGUCUGUAAAAAAAUCCUAACCGAGUGGUGAGCCAGUCUCCCACACGAAGGCUUAGCUGCGAAAUCCGUUUCGCCUAAGAUAAAAAAAAUCCUACCGAGUGGUAAGCCAGCCUUCCACUCGGAAGCUUAGCUGCAGUCCAAGUACUCACCUAAGUUAAACAAAAUCCUACCGAGUGGUAAGCCAGCCUUCCACUCGGAGGCUUAGCUGCAGUCCAAGUACUCGCCUAAGUUAAACAAAAUCCUACCGAGUGGUAAGCCAGCCUUCCACUCAGAGGCUUAGCUGCAGUCCAAGUACUCGCCUAAGUUAAAUAAAAUCCUACCGAGUGGUAAGCCAGCCUUCCACUCGGAGCCUUAGCUGCAGUCCAAGUACUCGCCUAAGUUAAAUAAAAUCCUACCGAUUGGUAAGCCAGCCUUCCACUCGGAGGCUUAGCUGCAGCCCAGUGCUCACCUAAGUUAAACCAAAUCCUGCCGAGUGGAGAGCAGACCUCCCAUUCGGGGGCUUAGCUGCAGCAUUGCGCUCACCUAAGUACAAAUACAACGUGCGCUCUGCAAGGGGGACGAGGUGUAGGUCGACUGCUACCCUCUCCUUCCGAGCUACACCACAAAUACAACGUGCGCUCUGCAAGGGGGACGAGGUGCAGGUCGACUGAUACCCUCUCCUUCCGAGCUACGCCACAAAUACAAUGUGCGCUCUGCAAGGAGGACGAGGUGCAGGUCGACUUCUACCCACUCCUUCCAAGCUACGCCACCAAUACAAAAUCCUACCGAGUGGAGAGCAGACCUCCCACUCGGGGGCUUAGCUGCAGCCUAGUGCUCACCUAAGUUUUUGAAAAUCCUACCGAGUGAAGAGCAGACCUCCCACUCGGGGGCUUAGCUGCAGCCCAGUGCUCGCCUAAGUUCUUGAAAAUCCUACCGAGUGGAGAGCAAACCUCCCACUCGGGGGCUUAGCUGCAGCCUAGUGCUCGCCUAAGUAUCUGAAAUCCUACCGAGUGGAGAGCAGACCUCCCACUCGGGGGCUUAGCUGCAGCCCAGUGCUCGCCUAAGUUUUUGGAAAUCCUACCGAGUGGAGAGCAGACCUCCCACUCGGGGGCUUAGCCACAGCCCAGUGCUCGCCUAAGUGUAUUGGGGAACAAGUCGAUUGCAAUGAGCACUUCGCUUUAAACCUGCAAAAGACACCUCAACCGAAUGUAAACAUAUUCAACAUUGAAUCCAAGUUCGGAUAACACCUAACGGAACCGAAAGUGCUCAGGCGCUAGGCCUGUUAAGGUUUAUCGGUUACAAAACUCACUCGGCAUACCGAGGCAAAUUUAAAGUAUCAAGCUCAGAAGUUUUUUACCCCUCCUGUGGAGGGCUGGAAGGCACAACAAACUCGUCCAGGUCGAUUCCAUCUGCAAUUCGAGUGGCGGCGGUGAUGAAGGUCUCCAUGAAGGAUCAGAAAUCGUGCUUCUUGGUGUUAGCCACCCUAAGGGCCACCAGCUUGUGCUCUCGCGCAUCCUUGCAAUGAACGCGAACCAGAGAUAGAGCAACAUCCGCACCACACCUGGCCGAAGACUUCUUCCACUCCUGCACUCGACUUGGGACCUCGUUCAGUCGAGUCAUCAGAGACUCGAGGUCAUUCUGGAGCGUCUCUCUUGGCCAGAGUGUUGUGUCGAUGCGAGAAGUUGCGACCUUCAGCCUUGCAAGAUAGUCGACGAUGGCAGCAACGCGAGAUUCAAGUCGGAGCACAUUCAUGGCGACUUCAUCUUUCAUGGGAGAGUUGAUGGGAUCCAGGUUUAUUUCCAGUCGACCAGUCUCCUCUUCAAAGUUCUGGCAAAAUUCUGCAAGCACAACCACCGAUUAAGACAACAGUCGGAGAUCACAAUUGAAAUGUCUGUUUGUUACAAAGGAUUACCUUCAAGCAUGAGGAAUAGAUUCUUGGCGAGUCCACCCAGAUAAGCCUCCAAAUCGUUCUUCUUUCCCUCCAACUCGCUGGCCUUGUCAUUCAGGGCAACCUUGUCACUUUUCAGUCGACUGACCUCCUUGUUGGCAGCAUCAAGAGCAGCCUUCAGAUUGGUGUUUUCUUCUUCAAGCUUGGUAACUGAAGCCAGCUUUUCAUCUGCAAGCUUGGUCUUCUCUAAAGCCGCUUUCUGCAACCCAGCCAAGUCAAGGUCUUUCUUCUUCAGGGCAUCCCUCACUUUGUCUGCAAAUUAUAGUGAGAUCAGACUCUGAAACAAACGAGAGGCAAAAGCAGUCGUCGGAGGCCUCACCAAACAUACCUUUAGCCUCCUCCUUCGCCUUCGUUAGGUUCUCUUGGGUCAGUUUCAGAUCAAGCUCGAGCUGGAUAUGUUUGUUCUCCAUCUCAGUGUAACGAGCCGCAAGGUCGCAGGAUUUCUACGAAGAACCAAUCGAUAGAUGUGAAAGACAAUUCACUUCCGAGUGACUAAGGAAAAAUCAUAGCAUUUCUAAGACUAUGGCCGAAUACAAACAUUCGACCACAGUCUCGGGGACUACACCCAGUGGGUGCACUCAGCGUGCCCCCACUAGUUUCAUCAGUUAGAGUCGACCAGUCGACCAACAAAAAAAACGGGAGGUGUUCUUCAGACUAUAGUUGACUGCCAGCAGUCGACCACAGUCUCGGGGACUACACCCAGUGGGUGCACUCAGCGGGCUCCCAUCGGUUUAUGAAUCUAUUCGACCUAGUCGAGUAAGGAAAAAACUUAAGACAUAAAGACUAUAGUCGACUGCCAGCAGUCGACCAUAGCCUUGGGGAAUACACCCAGUGGGUGCACUCAGCGUGCCCCCACUAACCCGGAAUUUCAAUCGACACACCCAGUGGGUGUAGGAAAAACUCUAGGAAUUUCAGAAAGAAGAGUUUUUAGAUAUCAUAUCCUAACAGAACAGGCAGUGACCGACUGACGUGAACAUUACUCUGAAGAGCUGAACUGGCGUCAUAGGCUGCCUGACUGGCUUCUCGUAUUGCCUUCACUUGCUCCAUCAUGACCCCCGCUUGGCGUAUUGCUUCUUUAGCAGCAUUAGCCUGGUCUUCUGGAACGUGGUAGGUUGUGAAAAGCGAGGGUUGAGCAGCACUCGACGAUGAAGGACGAGCACUCGUCAACGGCACCACAAAGGUUACAGUAGGCCGAGUGACAUUGUCUCCCUCCACGACCAAUGUCUCGGGUGCUGGCACGUCCUGAGUCGCCUUGCCAGCAGACGCUUUCUUGCUCCUCCUCUGCCUUGGUGGUUCCUCGUUGUCGUCGUCGAGAAGGUCGAUAACGACGUUAGAUGAAGCUACAUAAAAAGAAUCAAAAUUAGAGACAAGAAGCCAAUCGACUAAAGAAAGAACUACAAGAGUCAUACCAGGUUUCGAAGUAACAGCAUCCUCCAUCUCCUGAUCUUCAGCUCUGGCCGAGGUCUCAAAAGUAGCAGCACUGCAGUUUCAGAAGACAGUCGAUUAGCUCAUGAGUCGACCAAGAAUAAGUUCAUGAGGAACAGACAAAUUCAAGCUACACCAUUACCUUGAGAUAGUGGGGAUCACCAUCUUCAUCUUCGGCAAGACCUUCGCCGACUUCAACGGCGCCACUCGAGACUGCUUCGGAGCUUUCUCAGUUGGCACCAGAGAAGUAGUCCGAGGGCGCUUGGACGACUGCGUGACGGUUGCGACCCCCUUACCGCGCUCGACCAUGGGAUCAUGGACAAGCUUCGAGCGUCUUUCCGAGCGAGGAGGUACAACUUCCUCCUCCUCCUCCUCCUCCUCUUCCUCCUCAUCAGAGUCAUCACCCUCAUCAUCGUCGUCAACAUCCGAAUCCCACUCCUCUAGGCUUUCGCCCCCACUUCCUUCCUCCUCUUCAAUUGGCGUCUGCGCUCCAUUGGGCAUCGAGUAUAACUCGGUGGUGGCCUAUCAGACAACAAAACAAAACAAAGAUCAAUCGACCAAUUCGCAGCAAAGCAGAGUGAAUACAGCAAGAUAACAAUUGGAGAUAAGUGGGCAUACUGUCACAUCCCUAGUCCUGGCAUGCACUAUGCUAGCCUUUAUGUGUGCAUCAUGUUUAAUUUUCUUCAAAUAAACUUGAAAUGGGGAUUGUCCAAACCCUAGCUUUAAGGAAUUCACUAGGUUCACCUAAAAAUAUUUUUAGUAAGUCCAAAUGGCUUUUAAAAAUGUUCAUCAUUUAUGGUAAAUACUGUAAACAGUAGCCAGAGGUGAUGCACAUUUUUCCAUGACAUAUUUGGGCUCUAAAUUAAAUCUUAUGGUAUUUUCAUUUGGGCAUUUGAAUAUUAUAAAAUAUUUGAAAUGCUCAAAUAACCAUAAACUAAAAUGUUUACUGUUGGAUAUAUUCUAAACAGUAGCCAUGAUUAGUUUCAUGAUUUUUGAAAGUGUCUGGGUAUUUUUAAUAAAGCCCUAAAUUUACAGAAUAAUAGAAAACUGAAAUAAUUAGAAAAGGAAGAGCAGAAGAACUACCUGGCGCUCACCUCUCAGCCCACCUGGCCCAACUCCAGCUGGCGGCCCAGCCCGCCACCGCUAACUCCCCUGUCGUCUUCCUCCCCUCGCACCGAAGCACCUCGGUGGCGAGCGCCGACGCCGCCCUGGCCACCUCCUGCUUGCCACCGAGGCGCCCCCGACGCGUCUGGAUAUGCCCCGUAGCCCCCUCUAUCUCUCCCCUCGCUCUCUGCUCUCUCUCGACCCCUUCCUCCUCUUCUGCUCCCUCUCCCUCUCGUGAGCCCCGAGCGCAGUCAUCGCCGCCGUUCGCCAUAGCCGCGGCCACUGGCCACCCCACGCAAUCCCGACGCGCCCAGAAGCUCCGCCACGUUGUCUUCUUCAUCUUCGAUGAGCCACGCAAGCCGGGAGGGCCUGGAACAUCACCAUCGCCGUUGUCUUCCACCUCGGGCUCCGACCACCGCCGCCGUCGAUUCGCCGUCUCCACCGCCUCCCCGAGCACGCCGACCUUCUCUUCGAACUCACCGUGAGCCCCUGUCCAUUUCCCCUCUCUCCCCGUGCCCGUCCGCGCCUUCUAACCACCCUGGCUGUCGGAGCCGACAGUUCCUCGCCGCCGGCGAUGAUGCAGACGAGGCUAGAGCCACCGUAGCUAACUUCCGAGCACGGCAACGUGCUCAGCACUCUUCCAGGAGCCGGGUGCGCCCACCCGUGUGACCUGCCGUGCCCCCUACCGCCAACCCCGACCUCGCCGUGCUCCGGCCGCCGCCGAUUUGGUCGCCGCUGUCGAUCCCGACCACCGCAGCUGCUGCCUCCACCACCAUUAGAUGCGCGAGUCUUCCAGCUCGCUGUAGCCGCAAACCCCGAGCAAAAUGGUUCCCUGUAUCACAAUCCCGAGCCGCCCCGCCGUUUCUGUCGUCGCCGGCGACAAGUCGCCGGCAGGUUUGACCUGAUCUGCCCGGGGUUUGACCUCCCCUGACGUGUGGGCCCAGGCGCCUGCUUGAUUAGUGUUAGGUUAGUUAGUGUUAAUUAACUUAGCUAAUUAGAUGAGCCACUGACAUGCGGGCCCCGCCCGGCUAACUAACUUGGUUAGUUGACUGGGUCACUGACCAGUGGACCCCACUGGUCAGGUUUGACCUGGUCGACGCCUUUGACCUGCUGACGUCACCCCGACGUCAUGCUGACGCAAUAAGUAUUUUCUGGAUUUAUUUUUAUUCAGAAAAUUCCAGAAAAUUGUAUAAACUUCUAAAAUUUAUAGAAAAUUAACCGUAACUCCAAAUUAAAUAAAUUAUAUAUGAAAAAUUAUCAGAAAAAUCCAAUCUAUCCAUCUGUACCAUUUUCAUGCAUGUUAGAACAACUUAUAACUGCUGUUUAGCACAAAUCAUAUAAAUGGCAUUUGAAUUUCACAUAUGGAGUUUGGAUUUGAACUUAGGGUUCAAACCAACUUCAUUUAACUUUGUUGCUAGCUGCAUUAGCACAAACCACAACAUAUUGCCAUGUCACAUUCAUGCAUCAUAUUGUGCAUUGCAUUGAUUGUGUUCUUCCUCAGUUGUCGGUGAUUGUCCCCUCUCGAUAGACGUGUACCGACGAUGUGAUCGAUGACACCGAUGAAGAGCUAUAUUAUCUUCAGAAGUGCCAGGCAAGCAAAACCCCCUUGUUCAUUCCGAUAAAAUCCCACUCUGUCGCUCCUGCUCUCUUUUACUGCAUUAGGACAACAACGACAUAUUUGUUACUUGCCGCGGUAGCUGAACCCCUUCAUCCUUUGCAUGACCUGUCAUUGCCACAGUAAAUAGAUGAAAUCCACUAGCAUGAGUAGGAGUUGUUUGAGCCCUAAUGUGCCUACUCAUUCAUGCUUGUUUGUCAUGCCUGCUACUUCUUAGAGUUGAGUCAGGUCUGAUUCAUUGGGGAUGAAUCAGAAGUGUGUGAACAUGUCCUACUGUGUGUGAGCUAAGUGUGUGAACACGAUUUGGUAAAGGUAGCGGUGACAGGCCAUGUAGGAGUACAUGGUGGGUUGUCUCAUUGCAGCCAUCCUCAGGAACUGAGUUCUGUGUUUGUGAUCCAUGACCAGCUACUAUCACACAUUGGGAUCCUUAAUUGACUCUCUCGACUUAUUAAUCAACAUGAUCUCUGUCCAGGAGUUGCAACUAGUUUCUGGUGUUUGUAGGUAGUGUUAGUAGUCUACCAAGUGGCACCCAGUACAGGUGGGCUUGGGACAGACUAGGCACAGUGGCCCGGUGUACCAAGUAGCACCCGGAUGGUGGGCUUGGGAACCCUGCUCACAUCGUUUGGGGCCGUGAGCGACACCCCGGCCGGAUCUCCUUGCGGAUGGAACCCGAAUAGGCGAUAAACCUGGACUAGAGACUUGUUUGGUUAGUCAGGUCGUGGCCGACUCCCUCGCCCGGCUUCCGCUUGAAGGUUGCCGAGGUACAUGACGUGUACAGGGCGAUAAGUGGCGAAAGCGUGUGUGAAGAAGUACACCCCUGCAGGGUUAUCAUUAUCUAUUCGAAUAGCCGGAUUCCUCGGAUAUGGAAACUUGGACCCCUUGCAUAGAUCAUAGACAAGUGAAAGUGGAUACUCUAAAAUACGCAAGAUAAGCGUGAGUGCUAUGGAUGGCGUUCUCGUAGGGAGACGAGAGCGGAUCCAUAGUGGUGUAUUGAUAUGGUGAAUAUGUGGACUCGUGUGCGCCACCUCAAAAGAGUUACUUGCAGUCGUAGUUCAGGAUAGCCACCGAGUCAAAGCUGGCUUGCUGUAGUCAAACUCCACCACCCCCUUUGUUGAUAAUGAUGCAUAUGUAGUUAGUUCUGAUGUAAGUCUUGCUGGGUACAUUUGUACUCAUGUUUGCCUAUUUUAUGUUUUUGCAGAGAGACUUCGGUCUCGCUAGUAGUUCCGCGUGGACUUCGACAUUUAGCUUGUUACCUCAGCUACGAUCUUGUGCCCUCGGCAGGAUCUGGUAGAUAGUUAGGCUUCUCAGCCUUUUUCAUUUAUAGUUGUCUAUACUCAGACAUGUUAAGCUUCCGCUUGUGCUUUGACUUGUAUGCUCUGAUUGUUGGGUCAUGAGACCCAUGUUUGUAAUAUCUCGCUCCUCAGAGCCUAUUGAAUAAACUACUUGAGUCGUAGAGUCAUUUUGUGAUGCCAUGUUGUGUUGCACAUAUCGAGCAUAUUGUCUGUAUGUUAUUGAAAUGCUUGGUAUGUGUGGGAUCUGACUAUCUAGUUGUUUAUCUUUAGUAGCCUCUCUUACCGGGAAAUGUCUCCUAGUGUUUCCACCGAGCCAUGGUAGCUUGCUACUGCUUCGGAACACUUAGGCUGGCCGGCAUGUGUCCUUCUUCGUUCCUGUGUCUGUCCCUUCGGGGAAAUGUCACGCGAUGAAUACCGGAGUCCUGUUAGCCCGCUACAGCCCGGUUCACCGGAGUCCUGCUAGCCCAGUGCUACAGCCUGGAUUCACUCGCUGAUGACCGACACGUUCGAUGCUGGGUCAUGGAUGCCUGUCCCUGUAAGUUUGUGCCACUUUGGGUUUACGACUAGCCAUGUCAGCCCGGGCUCCUUAUCAUAUGGAUGCUAGCGACACUGUCAUAUACGUGUGCCAAAAGGCACAAACGGUCCCGGGUAAAGGUAAGGCGACACCCGUGGGAAUACCGUGCAUGAGGCCGCAAAGUUAUAUGAGGUGUUACAUGCUAGAUCGAUGUGGCAUUGAGUCGGGGUCCUGACACAUACCGUGUCCGGGGUAUAGGUACAGUCGAGUGGUGGGAUCCUCCUAGCCCCUCGAGGGUUGUCCUUAUUCCUUGUGAUGGCUGCCACCCACCUCUCCAAUGUGGCGUCGUUGACCGCUUCUGGAUGGACCCGAGUGGUGUCUUCGGUACCACAAUACAGCCACAUCGGGUGGCCUCAGUACUUAAGCGGUUGGAUGCGCCGUCUAAGGAAGACCUCCAGAAGAUCCAUACCCGUCACUCCGUCCCUAAAAAGUUGGACUACGCGCUCCAUCAACAUUUUCACCUGAGCUUUCUCCUCAGGAAGCACCUUCAGAGAAGAGGGUUUGUCCACUCGGUCCAUGGAGAACGGAGGGAGACCAGUCGAUUGCCCCGCCGUCGACUCGUCUUGGCAGUAGAACCAAGUCGACUGCCACCCUCUGACCGACUCAGGAAGGGUCAUGGCCGGGAAAGUACUCUUAUUCCUCAUCUGAAUCCCAAGACAACCGCACAUCUGGAUAACCUUAGUCCUCUCAUCAUCCGGACUCGCCCUUUUCACUGUUUGUGAGCGACAGGUGAAUAUGUGCUUAAAGAGACCCCAGUGUGGUCGACAACGCAGGAAGUUCUCGCACAUGGACACAAAAGCAGCAAGAUAGGCGAUGGAAUUGGGGGUGAAAUGGUGGAGUUGCGCCCCAAAGAAAUUCAGAAACCCUCGGAAGAAAACACUCGGCGGCAGAGAAAAGCCACGGUCUACAUGAGUGACUAGGAGAACGCACUCACCCUCUUGCGGCUGUGGUUGACACUCGGUCCCCGAAAGCCUUGCUGACCCGUGGGGGAUCAGUCCCUUGUUGGCUAGGUCAUUGAGAUUUGUCUCAGUGAUGGUCGAGCGGAUCCAAUCCCCUUGGACCCAACCUUUUGGCAGGCGGGACCUUGACGAAGAUCCGCCCCGACUGGACGGUCUCCCCUUCGCUUUCCCCGUCGCCGUCGCCUUCUUCGCGCGCUCUAAGGCCGCCGUCUUCUCCUUCACCGUUGUCGCCGGCGAAGCACGCGAGGAGUGGAUAGGCGGAGGCGAGAGCAGGCGCAGCGGGCGGAGGCAAAGAGGGCGGAGAGAAGAAUGGGAAGGCACUGUUCAAAAACCCUCGCCCGGCGCUUCAUACAAGGGUGCUUCCGAGUGGCUGACGAGUGUGUCCGGGCGGUCCUGUCACAUCCCGAAACAGUCGCGCACGCACGAUACAUGGCGAAAAAGGCGGCGCAGAAAUCGAGGCGUCCACGCCUUAACCGCGGUUUGCCCCGUUUCGCGCGCUUCCCAAAAUUCGGAUCCCACAAAAUCCGCUAACGGCAGAUCAAUCUGUCAGACGAUAUCUUUCCUACGAUCCGUCGCUCGGAAGUUCACUAAAGUUCAAAAGUUCACUUGGCAGAAGAAAGGAAUGGAUCAAGGCGACUGAAAGAAAAGUUGAUGCCAAUGCCGAAAAGAAGAAUCGCUGAUCCAGGAUACGACAUGAUCAAAGCACGAGAAAUAGGUCAGAGAAAAUCAUCAACUCCUUCCUCACUUGAACCUCGAUCCAUUUGGGGGCUAAUGAUGAGGUUAUGUACCUAGGGUAGUGUUACGCCCAAUAUGCGACCCUAUCCAAAAGGAACUCGAAGGUCCCACCAAGGAUAGACCCGCAUAUUGAAACGCUUUUGCAAGGUGGAUAUCAUUACAUCAACAUUACAUAAUAGAUGGGGAUACAUACAUAAGGCAUACAAUGCCACACGAAUACAUCAUCACAAUACAUAAGAGCAUCAUCCGACUACGGAUGAAACACAAACAGAAACUCAAACGACAUCCACCCUGCUAUCCCAGGCUGCCGACCUGGAACCUAUCCCCUGAUCGAAGAAGCAGAAGAAGAACUCAAUGCAAGCAAGCAUCGCUCUCGCGUCAUGAUCAUCGCAUAACCUGUACCUGCAACUGUUGUUGUAGUAAUCUGUGAGCCACGAGGACUCAGCAAUCCCAUUACCAUGGGUAUCAAGACUAGCAAAGCUUAAAGGUAAUGGAAGUGGUAAAGUGGUGAGGUUGCAGCAGCGACUAAGCAUAUAUGGUGGCUAACAUACGCAAAUAAGAGCGAGAAGAGAGAAAGCGGAACGGUCGUGAAACUAGAAAUGAUCAAGAAGUGAUCCUAAACUCCUACUUACGUCAAACAUAACACAGAAACCGUGUUCACUUCCCGGACUCCGCCGAAAAGAGACCAUCACGGCUACACACACGGUUGAUGCGUUUUAAUUCGGAUCUGGUGUCAAGUUAUCUACAACCGGACAUUAACAAAUUCCCAUCUGCCUAUAACCGCAGGCACGGUUUUCGAAAGAUUAUACCCUGCAGGGGUGUCCCAACUUAGCCCAUGAUAAGCUCUCGCGAUCAACGAAGGAUAUACCUUCUCCCAUGAAGAACCGAUCAAACUCGGAAUCCAGGUUUACAAGACAUUUCGACAAUGGUAAAACAAGACCAGCAAAGCCUCCCACUGUGCCGACAAAUCUCGAUAGGAGCUGCACAUAUCUCGUUCUCAGGGCACACCGGAUGAGCAAGACGACGGGUUGGCAUAGACCCUGGUUGCCCAGGGGGCGCCGGACAUCGCUCGGUUUGGACCAACACUUAGACAAGCACUGGCCCGGGGGGGGGGGUAAAAUAAAGAUGACCCUCGAUAGCGCGACUCCCAAGGGAAAAAGGGCUAGGUGAGGCAAAUGGUAAAACAAAUGUUGGGCCUUGCUGGAGGAGUUUUAUUCAAAGCGAACUGUCAAGGGGGUCCCAUAAAUCACCCGACCGCGUAAGGAACACAAAAUCCGGGAACAUAACACCGGUAUGACGGAAACUAGGGCGGCAAGAGUGGAACAAAACACCAGGCAAAAGGCCAAGUCUUCCACCCUUUACCAAGUAUAUAGAUGCAUUAAUAAUAUAAGAGAUAUUGUGAUAUCCCAACCAAAAUCCUAUCCACCAUGGAGCAAUCUUCAACUUCACCUGCAACUAGCAACGCUAUAAGAGGGGCUGAGAAAAAGCGGUAACAUAGCCAAACAACGGUUUGCAUCGGAAAGGUGUCAAAGGUUAGAGGUUCAUGGCAAUUUGGGAUGGCUUGAAGAGCAACAGAUAGGUAAUGCAGCAAAGCGAUAGAACGAAGCAACUAACAUAGCAAUGAUAGUAGUGAGAUCUAGGGUAGCGGUCAUCUUGCCUGAAAUCCCGCAAGGAAGAAGAACGAGUCCAUGAAGAAGAUGAAGCCACGAAGACGAACCAAGCGUAGACGAACGAAUCCUCACGAUCGCAACGAAACGGGAACUAUCGAGAGAAGCACACAACAUGGUAAACACACCACACAUGAACAUGACAUGAUACACAAACAAGCAUGAUGCAUGACAAAGCUACAUGAAGCUACUCAUGGCAAGAGAUGACGCAAACAAGAGCAACACAUCAAGACAAGUUUAAAUGAGGACGGAAACAACUUAUAACAAUUUCGGUAAGUCCUCAUAUGCAUAUUUCGAAAUUGGUCCAGAUCUGAAUAAAACUUAUGUUCAAGUUGUUAAACAGCAAGUUAAGAUGCACAAAGAUGAUCUACAUGAGAUUCUAGUCAAGUUACAUAUAAAGUUCACUUAGUUCGGGGCUACGGCCUAGAAGAUAUGAGCAAAACAAGUUAAACAUGGCAUUGAUGCAAAAUGCACCCAAACAUCAAGCAAACACCUCAAAACAAGGAUGCAACAUGAUAAUAUGAAGCUACAUGCAAUUCUAAGCGAGUUUCAUAUAGAGCACACUCAAAACGGAGCAACGGUUCAACACACACACACACUAUACAGGUUUAAAGGACAAGCUGUCCAAAACAGCAACUAGGCAUAUUGCAAGCAUCAAAAUAACAUGCUACAGGACCAAAAUAUGAAAACAAAAGGCAUGGACAUGAAGUACAGGUAAAUCAUAACAAAACAUGAACACUGAGCUAUCUCUAGAAAUCACUAGAACAUGCUCAAACACACAUGGCAAGAUUGCAAACAAUAUCAGUUCAGACCUUGCAGAGAAUAACAUCAGGUUGCAAUGUUUAGAGCUAUCAAACAACAUGUUACAUGAACUUAUCAUGGCAAACAAAGGCAUGGCAUGAAUCUACUAAACCCAUAGAUCAAAAGUCCCUUACUGACCAUGAGCCAAAAAGGAUCAGAAAAUAUGAUGGCACCCAUGUAAACAUAGCAAGUUAUAUUACAGAUUCAAACAUGGCAGGAACAACGAUACAAAGGAAUGUAGAUGAGCUUGUACCACUCACCACAGAGCAAUACAUAGCAUGGCAAAGCAACCAACAGUAAGAAGACAUGUUUGUGAAGCUAAGCAUGGCAAGAGCAAGUCCAUAGGGUGCAAGGAUCAACUACAACAACCUUGGCAAAAUUGAAUAACAUGUAAACAAUCUGCCAGGAAACAUUUUGAAGAAAAAGUAGAGCACGAAAAUGACAUGCUAGACUACUGCAUAAUUGUAACCAGGGGCAUGAAUGGAUAGAGGACAACCAUAUGUUCAAAACAUCCUUAAUGAAGUAUCUCAAAAUAUGCAUGGAUCUCUCGGUAGCAACAUGUUUACAUGGCAUCAAAAUAACAGCAGAACAUGGACUAACAUCAGCAACAUCAUGAAGCCUAGUUUACAUGCUUGUGCUAGUCACCAUAUUGAUCACAAAAAUACAUGGCAUACACCUCUGUAAAGAAGACAUAGCAUAGAUCAAAACACAUGUAGAAGUCAACCUCAUAGGAUGCACACAUCAAUCAUGGCAAAAAUGACAAAUUAGCAUGUUAUAACAGUUUCAGCAGAUUAACAUCAUGAAGCACUCUUGCGACGAUGAUUCAGGCAUCAAGAUGAACUCAAAUGAACAUGAUGCAAUGGGACGAAAUGAAGUACUCGUUGAGAUGAACAAUUUGACAUAUUACACACACAAAACGGAGCUACGGAUGCAGAGAUAUGAUGCGUUGAACAUGGCAUGAUAAUGUUAAAAAUCUGGGACGGGCGUUUUUCGGGGUCAACCUCAAGAACCAGAUCUGGCAUGGCGCGUUCCACGAGGUUUGACGGCAUCCUCGCCGGAGCUGGACGUGGUGGUGGCCGGAGAGGGGUCGGAGGAGACCGGGGAUGGCCGGAUCUGGUCGCUCCCGACCCGAUCCGGCCGGAUCCGGCGAAGGGGCGCGGACGGGGAGGCGCAGCGGCGGGGAGGGACUAGAUUAGGGUUUGGACUGCGUGAAAAUCCGAGGGGAGCACCUAUUUAUAGGUAGAGGGAGCUAGGAGACUCCAAAUGAGGCACGGUUUUCGCCCACACGAUCGUGAUCGAACGACCGAGAGCAUGGAGGGGAGUUUGCUGGGUUUUGGGCCACUUUGGAAGGGGUGUUGGGCUGCAACACAAAGAGGGCUUUUACGGUUACCCGGUUAACCGUUGGAGUAUCAAAUGACCUCCAAAUGGCACGAAACUUGACAGGCGGUCUACCGGUGGUGUACCAAGGCCGCUUGGCAAACCUCGGGCCAUUCCGAGAAAGUUCAACACCCACUCACGAAGAGAGGCGAGAAGGGAACGCCGGAUGACAUAGGAGCGCCGGAUUGCAAAACGGACAACGGGGAAAAGCUCGGAUGCAUGAGACGAACACGUGUGCAAAAUAAAAUGCACAUGAUGACAUGAUAAAAUGCAACACGCAAGCAAAUGACAUGGCAACGACGGUGAAUAACUGGCAGACACCUGGCGCAUCGAAUCUGGGGCGUUACAGGUAGGAUCAUGGACCUAUCUGGGAUACCCUACCCAAGGACAUCCUUAGAAGAAGCUACCUUCUAGUCGACCAAGAGGGACUUCACUUGACCAAGAGAGACAUCACUCGACGAUGAAGAUAGCCACUCGACCAUGAAGCCAACCACUCGACGGCCAGGAGACCUAAAGCCACUCAGCACGCAACGGUCUGUCAUUAAGUAGCUUUAAUAGUCUUCAUGGCACUUUACGAGGGCGUUACCAGUAACCCCCUAUCUUAAUGUACUUUAAACCCUGCAUAACUGAGGGCCGGAGGGGUCUGGCGGACUCUAUAUAAGCCACCCCCUCCUCAGUGUAAAGGGUUCGCACCCCUGUAACUCAUAUACAUAGAAACCAGUCGACCGCCUCCGGGCUCCGAGACGUAGGGCUAUUAAUUCCUCCGAGAAGGGCCUAAACUCGCUAAAUACUCGUGUGUACAACUACUCCAUAGCUAGGAUCUUGCCUCUCCAUACCUACCCCCCAUUCUACUGUCAGACUUAGAACCACGACAGUAUCUCUACUUGGUGCAAGGAAUUUGGCUACCAUGAGGGGAAAGGCAAGCUCAAUAUGUUAGGAAGAUCCAUGACAAUAUUCUUUAACUGAGAUGUGAGAAAACAUAAACCAUUAUGUUGUCUUCCUUGUCCAACAUCAACUCUUUAGAAUGUCAUACUUAAUGAGUGCUCACAAUCAUAAAGGAUGUCCAAGAUAGUAUAUUGAUAUGUGAAGCUUCUCUUUCUUUAUUACUUCCUAUUAAUUGCAACGAUGACCAAAACUAUGUUUGUUAACUCUCAACAACUUUUAUGACUCAUACUAUUUAUAUGUGAAGUCAUUACCAUCCAUGUUAUAAGCAUAUCAAACAUAUAUAAAUUUAGAUUUAUGACAUUCAAUUCAUUCCCCCAUUUACUCAUAGGAUAUACAUGAAGCACAUGAGUAAAUGACAAACUACUCCAAAAGAUACGAGUGAAGGACACUGAGUAGUCAAAUAAUUAACUAGCCAUGUGAGGGUUCCUUUUUUAUUCAAUAUUUCAGAUCCAAUGAUUUUAUUCAAACAGGAAGUAAAAUUGGAAGUACGCUCCAAGCAAAACACAUAUCAUGUGACGAAUAAAAAUAUAGCUCCGAGUAAGGUAUACCGAUAGUUUUGAAGACGGAAGAGGGGAUGCCUUCCCCGGCAUCCCCAAGCUUAGGUGCUUGAGUCUUCCUUGAAUAUUACCUUGGGGUGCCUUGGGAAUCCCCAAGCUUAGGGUAUUCUCACUCCUUAUUCUCCUCCUAUCGAUAUCUCACCCAAAACUUGAAAACUUCAACCACACAAAACUUAAUGGAACUUUGUGAGAUAGGUUAGUAUGAUAAAGAGUAAACCAUUCACUUUGGUGUUGUAAAAUACAAGGUUCAUAAUUGUUUUCACACAAUUCCUACUUCACAAUAUCAUUUCUACUAUUUAUAUUUCUAAAUAUAAGCCAUAGAAACUAGAAAACAAGCAAACUAUGCGAUGAAAACAGAAUCUGUCAGAAACAGAACAGUCUGUAAUGAUCUGAAAAGAAACCAUACUUAUGCUACUCCAAAAAUUAUGAAAUAAAUUGGUGGACAUGAUUAAUUUGUCUAUUAAUCUUAUUCAAAAAUAAUCAACUAAAAAGCACUCUUCUGUAAAAAAUGACAGCUAAUCUCGUGAGCACAAAGUUUCUGUUUUUUACAACAAGAUCUCAUUAACUCUCACCCAAGUCUUCCCAAAGGUCUUACUUGGCACUUCAUUGAAACAAAAUCUAUAAAGAAUGAUUACUACAGUAGCUAAAUCAUGUAGACACACAAAAACAGUAAGGGUAAAUAUUGGUUUGUAUCCCAACAAGCGCUUUUCUGUAAUGCCUUUUAGCUAGGCAUGAUGAUUUCAAUGAUGCUCACAUAAAAGAUAAGAGUUGAAACAUAAAAAGAGCAUCAUGAAGAAUAUGACUAGCACAUUUAAAUAUAACCUACUUCCUAUGGCUAGGGAUUUUGUGAGCACACAAUUUAUAGGAACAAGAAUAAACUAGCAUAGGAAGGCAAAACAAGUUUAACUUCAAAACUUUACGCACAUAGAGAGGAAACUUGAUAUUAUUGCAACUCCUACAAGAAUAUAUUCCAACCUCAUAAUAGUUUUCAGUAGCAUCAUGGAUAACAACUUUGUUGUCAUACUCAAUUGGAACCUCUUCCGAAAUAGUGGAAUACUAACUAAAGUUGACACUCUUCCAAAUCCACUUUCAUAAAUAUCACACUAAGAUUCAACACCCUCCAAGAUAGUGGGAUCACUAAUUCCUAAAGUUGACACUCUUCCAAACCCACUUUAAUUUAUAGUAUGAUUCAUACUCCAAAAGAUAUAAGUGAAGUUCAUAGAGCAUUCUACAAUUAAUAUAGACUAACCAAUGUCCAAGCUCAAAAUAUAUAAGUGAUGCAAACGAAGCAUUCUAUAAAACCACACUCAAACGAUUUAAGUGAAGCACAAAGAGCAAUUCUAUAAGAUCAUACUUAAAAGAAAUAAGUGAAGCACAUAAAGUAUUCUAUAAAUCAAUGAAGAUCUAUCUCAUACUAGCAUGAUUCUUAAAGAAAAAUAAAAACACAAAGGACAAAAAUCAUGUGAACAAAACAAAAACUGAGGUAUACCGAUAUCUGUCGAAGAAUAAAGAUGGGAUGCAAACCGGGGAAUCCCCAAGCUUAGAUGCUUGAGUAUCCUUUAAAAUAUUUACUUGGGGUGCCUUGGGAAUCCCCAAGCUUUAACUCUUGUCUCUCUUUAUUCUUCUCACAUCGGUAACUCCUCGUUCUUCUAACACUUCAUUCACAAAAACUUAAACAAAAACUUUGUGAGAUCCGUUAGUGUAAUAAAGAAAACUACCACUUUAAGGUACUUUAAUUAAAUUAUUAUUUUUCUAUAUUGGUGUUAAAUCUACUUCAUUCCAAAUUCUCUAUGGUUCAUACCCUUACAUACUAGCCAUAGAUGCAUCAAAAUAAGCAAACAACACACAAAAAACAGAAUCUGUCAAGAACAGGGCAGACUGUGGUAAUCUGGAAUUUUAGUAAACUUAAGUAACUCCACAAAUUAUGAAAUAAAAUUGAAGAUUUGAAAAUUUUGUACAGAACUAAUGUGCAAAAAGCUUGCACAUAGUAAGCAAGCAAUCUUAUCAUACUAAAACCAAAGCUUGACACAUUAUUUUUAGAAUACAAUGGAUAUAUACAAGGCGAUAAUUAUUUACAGAGAAACUUCCAUGAAAAAUUCUACAUUGUUUCCGUGAGCAUCAACACAAGUGCUCAAGGUCGACCCUCACUUCUUCAAUGCAUAACUUUCCAAUCACUUCUCUUUUUGAAAACUUUUUUUUAGGCAUGAGAGGCAAGUAAAUAUUUUUUUUGUAUUUUCAUUCUUUUUUACAAAAAAUUGUAUGUUUCACCCACAACUAAAAAGUAAAAACAAAAUCUACUUAGUGAAGAAAGCAAACAAGCACACACGAGAAUAUCAACCCCAUGCUAAUGCUCCCCGGCAACGGCGCCAAAAAAGAGCUUGAUAAUCCCCAAGUGCAGGGAAUCAUCGUAGCAAUUCCCAAAGGUGGAAGUGUUAGGUAUGGAGUGUGGAACCCACAAGGAGCUAAAGGUUAGAUCAAUAUUCUCUCAAGCCCUAUCUGCCACUGAUACGACUCUACGUGCACCGAACGUUUGCUUCCAACUAGAAACAAGAAAUAAAACUAUGUUGUGGGUAUAAAGAGGAUAACUUUGCAUGAUAUCAGAGAUCUAAAAUAUGAAAGUAGGUGUUGUUAUAAUAAAGUUAGAAUAUAUUACUAAAUAUUAUAAAUAGCGAGUGCGGAAUAAUGGUGGAUUGGUGUGUGGAAUUGUCCUAGGCAAUUGUUAACAAGAUCGGUAGUCGUCAUUGCAUUUUCAUAUGAGGGAGAGGCAUAAGCUAACAUACUUUCUCUACUUGGAUCAUAUGCACUUAUGAUUGGAACUCUAGCAAGCAUACGCAACUACUAAAGAUCAUUAAGGUAAAACCCAACCAUAGCAUUAAAGCAUCAAGUCCCCUUUAUCCCAUACGCAACAACCCCCUUACUCGGGUUUGUGUUUCAGUCACUCACGCAACCCACUAUAAGUGAAUCAUGAACGUAUUGCAACACCCUAUAGCGGGAAUCCCUCACGCUUGUGCGACACGGACGGCACUAUAGGACAACACCAAAAUAAAACAUACAACUCGUACCAAUCUAGACCAUCAAUCAACCCAAGGACAAAAGAUAUCUACUCAAAACAUCAUAGGAUGGCAACACAUCAUUGUAUCAUAAUAUGUGGCAUAAAGCACCAUGUACAAGUAGGGAUUACAGCGGGGCGUGAGAGAGUGGACCGCGUAAAAGAGAUGAGGAUGGUGAUGAGGAUGGUGAUCUUGAUGAACACGAUCACCGCGGUGAUGAUUCCCCUCUCGAUGGCACUCCGGUGCCACCAAGAGAGAGGAGGAGAGGUUCUCCCCCUUGUGCUUCCUCCUCCAUGGAUUUCCCCCUCUGGUCCUUGGCCUUCAUGGCGACGAUGGCCCCUCCGAGAUCCUCCUCCAUGGCCUCUGGUGAUGAUGGCCCCCUCCGGCAGGGUGCCUAUAUUGAUUUCUCGUGGCUACAAAGGCUUGCGGAGGCGGAACUUCCGAUCUAGGUUAUUUCCUGAAGGUUUAUGUGUUUAUAGGAAUUUUUGGCGUAGGUUUCAUGUCAGGGGGGUCUCUGGGCUGUCCACAAGAUAGGAGGGCGCGCCCUAGGGGGGUGGGCGCGCCCCCCACCCUCGUGGGCAGCCUGGGACUCUUCUGGCCCAACUCCGAUGCUCCAUGGUCUUCUUUUGGUCCAUAAAAAAUCAUCAAAAAUUGGCACAUCAAUUGGACUCCGUUUGGUAUUCCUUUUCUGUAAAACUCAAAACAAGGAGAAAACAAAAACUGGCACUGGGCUCUAGGUUAAUAGGUUAGUCCCAAGAAUCGUAUAAAAUGGCAUAUUAAUGCAUAUAAAACAUCAUACAUGGAUAAUAUAAUAGCAUGAAUACUUCAUAAAUUAUAGAUACAUUGGAGACGUAUCACGCCCUAGUCGAUGCCAAUAUUUUGGCUUGGAAGUUGAGGGCAUUGAUCCAAACGGCAUCUUUUAAACUUAGCAAUAAAGCUUUAGGAAGUGUGUUCUUAGUCAUCUCCCUUUCAAGCAAUAUAUCAUCUUCUGGUUCUUUAAUCUGUGUUGUACAGCCUAUGACUAUCCAAGUAAUUUUUUGUAAACCAACUUAAGAGCUGCAUAUAAGUGACCGCAAACCCAAGACAAUCUUGCAUAUUUUGUUGGGUCUAUGUUUUUAUGUACCGGAGUUUAGGUAAUCACUUACUUCCCGAAGAUCUGUCCAGGUUGUGUACUGAAGGGGCGCUGAAGAUGC